CGACCCACCCUCUCUCUCUCCACCAUAUGGCUGGCUACUGCCACUACUAGCGAACUUCCCGCUUUCAUCGAAUAAGGCUGCAGAAGCCUCUCUGCCUCUCUGUCUGGGUUUUAUCCUCUUCUUCGUUGACUCCGCUAUCCUCCUUUGUAUGGAAGAAGCUUCCUGAAGAUUACUCUCUCUCUCUCACUUACUUCUUCCUUGCAGCAGGAUGGCAAUCGGUGGGUUGAUUUCAAACAGGAACUUGGGCUCCUUCAUCGGCUCAGGCAAUGGUUUUCAGAAUCAAAUAGGUAUAUCCAACAACAGGGCCAUGCUCUGUCAUAGAAAAUCAAAUGCAUUGUGCCCUUCUCAUCAACAAAGGCACAUUUCAUCUCUGCAAGCUGCUACAUUACAGCAUGAACUUGGACACAGCAGAAGAGGUUUUGGAUGUUUCCUUCUACCCACUAGACUAUUUAGGUUUAAGGGCAACACAUCUCGCGCUUCCUACAAAUCUUCUGAGGAGUCCCAAGGAGCUGGAGCUGUUGACCCACUGCCAUAUGCGGAAGCUAUUUUAGUCCAAGGGAACGCCUCCUGGUGGCAGCUGCAGUUUCCUAGGCGUUGGGUGAUCGUCCUCUUAUGCUUUGCUUCUUUUCUUCUUUGCAAUAUGGACCGUGUUAACAUGAGCAUUGCAAUUCUUCCCAUGUCUCAACAAUAUAACUGGAACAGUGCUACUGUUGGCUUGAUUCAGUCCUCCUUCUUCUGGGGCUAUUUGCUUACCCAGAUUCUGGGAGGUAUCUGGGCAGAUAAGUAUGGAGGGAAGGUCGUUUUAGGUUUUGGUGUUGUCUGGUGGUCCAUUGCCACCGUUAUGACUCCUAUUGCUGCAAAACUUGGUCUCCCCUUUUUGCUUGUCGUGCGGGCCUUCAUGGGCAUUGGCGAGGGUGUUGCUAUGCCUGCGAUGAACAACAUGCUUUCUAAAUGGAUCCCUGUCUCAGAGAGAAGCAGAUCGCUUGCACUUGUCUAUAGUGGCAUGUAUCUCGGUUCUGUUACUGGCCUUGGAUUCUCUCCUAUGCUUAUCCAAAAAUUCGGAUGGCCAUCAGUUUUCUAUUCCUUUGGCUCCCUUGGAAGUAUUUGGUUUCUGCUAUGGCUUAAAUAUGCAUAUAGCUCUCCCAAGGAUGACCCUGAGCUAAGUGAAGAAGAAAAGAAGAUUAUACUCGGAGGUAGCAAACCAAGGGAACCUGUUACAGUCAUUCCAUGGAAGCUGAUUCUGUCUAAACCCCCCGUCUGGGCUCUCAUAAUUUCCCACUUCUGCCAUAAUUGGGGAACAUUCAUACUAUUGACAUGGAUGCCUACCUAUUACAAUCAGGUCUUGAAGUUCAACCUGACUGAGUCAGGGCUCCUAUGCGUCUUACCAUGGUUUACAAUGGCUGUAUUGGCUAAUGUUGGAGGUUGGAUUGCUGAUACUCUCGUGAGCAGAGGUCUUUCUAUUACAUCCGUUAGGAAGAUCAUGCAAUCAAUUGGUUUUCUGGGUCCUGCCUUCUUCCUGACUCAGCUGAGCCGUGUCAAAACUCCAGCAAUGGCCGUUCUCUGCAUGGCAUGCAGUCAGGGCGCUGAUGCAUUCUCUCAGUCGGGUCUCUACUCUAAUCAUCAAGACAUUGGCCCACGCUACGCUGUGAGAUAACAUCAAGUUUCUCCUUUUACUUUUUUUUUGUCAGGUGUACUCUUGGGACUUUCAAACACAGCAGGAGUCCUGGCUGGUGUCUUUGGCACUGCAGCUACUGGCUACAUCCUCCAGCGAGGUUCAUGGGACGAUGUGUUCAAAGUAGCAGUUGGACUGUAUUUAAUUGGAACUCUGGUGUGGAACUUGUUCGCAACCGGAGAGAAGGUUCUCGACUAGCCAGCAGCCGCUGAUGAACAAAGUAGCCAGUUGGUGUGAGGAAAGCUCUUUAUAUGUUUUCUCUGCUUUAAAUUUGAUCUGAUAGCGAAAGUGGUUGCCUUUGUUUGUUAAGAAAAUGUAUUCUUAUUUUUUGGGACCAUUUUUAAAAGCUUACAAUUCGAUGGGGAAGGAGAACACUUAAAAUGUAAAGCUCACAUAAAGAAGAAAAGAAACAGCAACCAGUUAUGUAUUCCC